CCUACGGGUGGCAGCAGUGAGGAAUAUUGGUCAAUGGGCGCGAGCCUGAACCAGCCAAGUAGCGUGAACGAUGACUGCCCUACGGGUUGUAAACCUCUUUUGUCAGGGAGCAACGCCGGCUACGUGUAGCCGGACUGAGAGUACCUGAAGAAAAAGCAUCGUCUAACUCCGUGCCAGCAGCCGCGGUAAUACGGAGGAUGCGAGCGUUAUCCGGAUUGAUUGGGUUUAAAGGGUGCGUAGGCGGAAUGCCAAGUCAGCGGUAAAAUCGCGGGGCUCAACCUCGCUCCGCCGUUGAAACUGGCGUUCUUGAGUGGGCGAGAAGUAUGCGGAAUGCGUGGUGUAGCGGUGAAAUGCAUAGAUAUCACGCAGAACUCCGAUUGCGAAGGCAGCAUACCGGCGCCCAACUGACGCUGAAGCACGAAAGCGUGGGUAUCGAACAGGAUUAGAUACCCGGGUAGUC
rnacentral:rRNA from 1 species